rnacentral:rRNA from 1 species
GACGAACGCUGGCGGCGUGCCUAAUACAUGCAAGUUGAGCGCUGAAGGUUGGUACUUGUACCAACUGGAUGAGCAGCGAACGGGUGAGUAACGCGUGGGGAAUCUGCCUUUGAGCGGGGGACAACAUUUGGAAACGAAUGCUAAUACCGCAUAAAAACUUUAAACACAAGUUUUAAGUUUGAAAGAUGCAAUUGCAUCACUCAAAGAUGAUCCCGCGUUGUAUUAGCUAGUUGGUGAGGUAAAGGCUCACCAAGGCGAUGAUACAUAGCCGACCUGAGAGGGUGAUCGGCCACAUUGGGAAUGAGACACGGCCCAAACUACUACGGGAGGCAGCAGUAGGGAAUCGUCGGCAAUGGACGAAAGUCUGACCGAGCAACGCCGCGUGAGGGAAGAAGGGUUUCGGAUCGUAAAAAUCUGUUGGUAGAGAAGAACGUUGGUGAGAGUGGAAAGCUCAUCAAGUGACGGUAACUACCCAGAAAGGGACGGCUAACUACGUG